UUUGUCUAGAGAAGAGAAGCUCGCGUUCUUUAUUAAUCUCUAUAAUAUGAUGGCCAUCCAUGCAAUCUUGGUACUGGGUCAUCCAGAUGGGGCACUGGAAAGAAGGAAAUUAUUUGGAGAGUUCAAAUAUGUUAUUGGUGGGUCCACCUACUCCCUUUCAGCUAUUCAAAAUGGCAUAUUGAGGGGAAACCAGAGACCACCAUAUAACAUGACGAAGCCAUUUGGUGCUAAAGAUAGGCGUUCAAGGGUAAGGUUUCUAAUGUUAACAAUUUAAAUACUUUUGUGCUGUUAAUAAUACUUUUAAGCGAUAUGCAAUUGAGUUCAAGCAAUUUCGAACUGAGACAAAAUCAACAGUCGUAUUAGGAAAUAAAUAACAAUUUUAGUCUCAUUAGAUUAGAUUCCAUCAUUUUCUGUAAACUAAUUCGCGAGUGUAUCGCAGAACUUAGUUUGUUAGCAUGCUAAAGUUCGACUAUCAUUUCUUUCAGGUGGCACUUCCUUACCCUGAGCCUCUUAUUCAUUUUGCUUUGGUGUAUGGUACCCGAUCUGGGCCUGCACUGCGGUGCUAUUCUCCUGGAAAGAUUGACGAAGAACUAUUGGAUGCAGCUCGUAAUUUCUUAAGACAUGGAGGGGUUGUAAUAGAUUUUACUGCAAAGGCUGUACAAGCUACCAAGAUCCUUAAAUGGUGAGUUCUUUGGUCGAGGACUCUGAAUAUGGUUGAUUUGAUUUUGAUAAAUUUAACAAAAGAAAAACGGAUCUAGUAUUUCAUACACUAGAACAUUCCCUCACUGUGAGAAAGCAACUGUUUCAAAUUCUAUACUUGGCUGAAUGGUUCAAACUCAAGAGUAUUUUACAUUUACCUUUAUUUUUGUAAGUUUGUCUGGUGGGUAAUUUCACUUGAAACAUAUAAAUACGUGAAGGAUGCAGAUGUAGCAAUAUAUCAGUGCAAAUCCCUCAUGACAUAUUUGAUCAUGAAUAGUACUAAAAUUAGUGUUUUACAUAUUGGAUUUGUCUAGAGAAGAGAAGCUCGCGUUCUUUAUUAAUCUCUAUAAUAUGAUGGCCAUCCAUGCAAUCUUGGUACUGGGUCAUCCAGAUGGGGCACUGGAAAGAAGGAAAUUAUUUGGAGAGUUCAAAUAUGUUAUUGGUGGGUCCACCUACUCCCUUUCAGCUAUUCAAAAUGGCAUAUUGAGGGGAAACCAGAGACCACCAUAUAACAUGACGAAGCCAUUUGGUGCUAAAGAUAGGCGUUCAAGG
rnacentral:lncRNA from 1 species